rnacentral:rRNA from 1 species
AUGAAGCCCUUCGGGGUGGAUUAGUGGCGAACGGGUGAGUAACACGUGAGCAACCUGCCCUUGACUCUGGGAUAAGCCUGGGAAACUGGGUCUAAUACCGGAUACUACUUCCUGCCGCAUGGUGGGGGGUGGAAAGCCUUGUGCGGUCUUGGAUGGGCUCGCGGCCUAUCAGCUUGUUGGUGGGGUAAUGGCCUACCAAGGCGACGACGGGUAGCCGGCCUGAGAGGGUGACCGGCCACACUGGGACUGAGACACGGCCCAGACUCCUACGGGAGGCAGCAGUGGGGAAUAUUGCACAAUGGGCGGAAGCCUGAUGCAGCGACGCCGCGUGGGGGAUGACGGCCUUCGGGUUGUAAACCCCUUUCGGCAGGGAACAAGCCUUUCGGGGUGAGGGUACCUGCGGAAGAAGCGCCGGCUAACUACGUGCCAGCAGCCGCGGUAAUACGUAGGGCGCGAGCGUUAUCCGGAAUUAUUGGGCGUAGAGAGCUCGUAGGCGGUUUGUCGCGUCUGCUGUGAAAGCCCGGGGCUCAACCCCGGGUCUGCAGUGGGUACGGGCAGGCUGGAGUGCAGUAGGGGAGACUGGAAUUCCUGGUGUAGCGGUGAAAUGCGCAGAUAUCAGGAGGAACACCGAUGGCGAAAGGCAGGUCUCUGGGCUGUAACUGACGCUGAGGAGCGAAAGCAUGGGGAGCGAACAGGAUUAGAUACCCUGGUAGUCCAUGCCGUAAACGUUGGGCACUAGGUGUGGGGGCCAUUCCACGGUUUCCGCGCCGCAGCUAACGCAUUAAGUGCCCCGCCUGGGGAGUACGGCCGCAAGGCUAAAACUCAAAGGAAUUGACGGGGGCCCCGCACAAGCGGCGGAGCAUGCGGAUUAAUUCGAUGCAACGCGAAGAACCUUACCAAGGCUUGACAUGUGCCGGACCGUCCCAGAGAUGGGGCUUCCCUUCGGGGCCGGUUCACAGGUGGUGCAUGGUUGUCGUCAGCUCGUGUCGUGAGAUGUUGGGUUAAGUCCCGCAACGAGCGCAACCCUCGUUCCAUGUUGCCAGCACUUCGGGUGGGGACUCAUGGGAGACUGCCGGGGUCAACUCGGAGGAAGGUGGGGACGACGUCAAAUCAUCAUGCCCCUUAUGUCUUGGGCUUCACGCAUGCUACAAUGGCCGGUACAAAGGGUUGCGAUACUGUGAGGUGGAGCCAAUCCCAGAAAGCCGGUCUCAGUUCGGAUUGGGGUCUGCAACUCGACCCCAUGAAGUCGGAGUCGCUAGUAAUCGCAGAUCAGCAACGCUGCGGUGAAUACGUUCCCGGGCCUUGUACACACCGCCCGUCAAGUCACGAAAGUCGGUAACACCCGAA